rnacentral:rRNA from 1 species
GAUGAACGCUGACAGAAUGCUUAACACAUGCAAGUCGAUGGGGAAGUGGUGCUUGCACCAUGGCAACCAUGGCGGACGGGUGAGUAACGCGUAAGGGACUUACCUGCAGGACUGGGAUAACAGGGGGAAACUCCUGACAAGACCGGAUAAUGUCAUGGAGCUGCAUGGCUUUAUGAUGAAAGGAGACGCCUGCGGAGAGCCUUGCGUCCUAUUAGCUAGUUGGUGAGGUAAUGGCUCACCAAGGCGAAGAUAGGUAGCCGGCCUGAGAGGGUGGACGGCCACAAGGGGACUGAGAGACGGCCCUGACGCCUACGGGAGGCAGCAGUGGGGAAUAUUGGACAAUGGGGGCAACCCUGAUCCAGCAAUUCUGUGUGCACGAAGAAGGUUUUCGGAUUGUAAAGUGCUUUCAGCAGGGAAGAGGUAAGUGACGGUACCUGCAGAAGAAGCGACGGCUAAAUACGUG